CCAUGNGUAGCGGUGAAAUGCGUAGAUAUAUGGAGGAACACCGGUGGCGAAAGCGGCUCUCUGGUCUGUCACUGACGCUGAGGCUCGAGAGCGUGGGUAGCGAACAGGAUUAGAUACCCUGGUAGUNCACGCCGUAAACGCUGAGUGCUAGGUGUUAGGUCCUUUCCGGGACUUAGUGCCGACGCUAACGCAUUAAGCACUCCGCCUGGGGAGUACGACCGCAAGGUUGAAACUCAAAGGAAUUGACGGGGGCCCGCACAAGCGGUGGAGCAUGUGGUUUAAUUCGAAGCAACGCGAAGAACCUUACCAGGUCUUGACAUCCCGAUGCCCGCUCUAGAGAUAGAGUUUUACUUUUUGUACAUCGGAGACAGGUGGUGCAUGGUUGUCGUCAGCUCGUGUCGUGAGAUGUUGGGUUAAGUCCCGCAACGAGCGCAACCCUUAUUGUUAGUUGCCAUCAUUAAGUUGGGCACUCUAGCGAGACUGCCGGUAAUAAACCGGAGGAAGGUGGGGAUGAUGUCAAAUCAUCAUGCCCCUUAUGACCUGGGCUACACACGUGCUACAAUGGUUGGUACAACGAGUCGCAAGCCGGUGACGGCAAGCUAAUCUCUGAAAGCCAAUCUCAGUUCGGAUUGUAGGCUGCAACUCGC
rnacentral:rRNA from 1 species